rnacentral:lncRNA from 13 species
GUGGACGGAUGCACACUAAUGGCCUGGACCAGAGCUACAACAUAGUUAGCUACAAGCAGGUCAGCGUAAGUGGCACCUCCAUAAUACAGUAAUUCUUCAUUUCAGAUGGCAGUCCCCUACAAAAUCCCCAAGAGAAAACAGCCAUCAGAAGCUGACAACAUGCACAUGCAGUCCCCUCUCUCACGUCUCCGGGAUACCUCCAGCCCAUUCGAGACAAGCUGGUGCAAUGGCUCUUCAAAUGGAAAAAGGCCUGAACAGGUUGGCUCUCUGAAUGGACACAUCCCCAGAGCAGGGAAACAGAGCACUCCUAACAGGCUAGUUCUGAGGGAUGUCUGUGAAGCGCGUCUUGGACCUGGCCAAUCAGACAAAUGGACCUCCAGCCAGUCAACAGGCUUCCAGAGACCAGCUCAGACCCCAGAACACCAUCCAGUUGCCAGCCAGAGAGGGAAUUCCCCAGAGCACAGCAAAUGGAGAGAAACCCAUAUGCCCAGCACUCUGCGGAGAUCACCCGCUCGCUGUCAGCUAGCAGUCAACGGAACAACUAAGAAGCAGACGGAGUCUCUGACUCAUAAGAAGCCACCUCACAUCCAAUCAAGCCCUGUGACAUCAUCAACACACAAAGCUGAACAAAGACUCCCAGCAGCCUCUCCUCCCUGCUUCAAAAAUGGAUGGCGCCCUAAGAGGGCAUCAGACACACUGUGCCGGGACAAGAAUCAAGAGACUGGGUGUGUGUCGCCACUGCUCAAGACGCGCCGUGCAGAGUUCAGUGGAGAUUCCCAAAUGUCUGUGAGAUGCAGCCCAGUGCAGUCGGAGCAGGAUUCUGCAUCAGAACCAUCUCCAGAAAGAGAGGUGGACAGUUCCUCAAAGACGGACGACAGGCUCUCUGUCUCCCCAGGAGACUCAACAUGGAGGAGACAUGACUCUGGGAUGAAUGGAUCUCCUCCACAAAACACAGAGAAGGAGGGGAAGGGAAGUUCAGGAUCACUGCAGAACCAGAUCAAGAAGACUAGUGGUUCACCAGGGACGGGCCCCAGGGGAAGUGUCCCUGUCCCCGCAGGCCACCGAAGCCAGAGCCCAGAUAGUGACGACCCUCCCGACCGCCCCUUGAUGUCAUGGGCCAGAGGUGCAUCCACAGGGUCCCCGAGACACCCCCUCUCCGCUGUGGCUUCAGUGACCCAGGCCACACAGGAGAAACGUUUUUCCUUUAGCAGGCCUCCCCUACGGGCUAACCUCACAGACAGAGAGAGCAGGCCUCCCCUACGGGCUAACCUCACAGACAGAGAGAGGAGGCCUCCAACCAAGUGUCUCUCCCUCCAUCUCAGGCUGAGGAGGCCCAAGCCCACUUCCACAGAACCUAGUAAGUUGACCCACUGUUGAACCCUUCAAAGCAUAUUGAUCAGAACAUACCACAUCACGCAUAGACUGGCGGUAUGACGUCACAUACUACUCUGUAAUAUGAGUGUUGUUACGCUGAACCAACAUUAUAAACGAAGCAAAAUGCCCUCCUCACCCAGUGGCGUCAGUAUAGAAUAUCAUCCGACACCAAUGGAUGAACAGGCGAGGAAGUGGUUUCAGCUGUAUGUCUUAGUGGGGUUCAGGGCCAUUACAUAACAGACUGGCUAGUAUCACGACAACAACAGAAAGAAGGCGUAUUAGACAAAUUCCCAGAAUGGCACUUGAUCCAGACAGAUAAACUCAGCUACUGUUAUGCAAUCAGUUUGACUUAGUUUUUACUAAUCUAAGUACCAAACAACAUAAUGGUAAUUUAUUUGAAUGGUAAAUCUGCAUUGAUAAACCGGGUGAAUCAAGAUGUAGCCUAGGUCUAUUCACAAUACAGGUGAAUGCAUAAUAUUCAACAGGAUUGUGUGCAUUGAGCUUGUUGUAGCUGAUAUUAUGGGGCUACAGAUGAUAAGCAAAUCCUUUCCAUUUAGGACUUAUUUUAUUGGCAACUGUUAGAACAUAUUAUUUUAUUGACAACUGUUAGAACAUAUUAUUUUAUUGACAACUGUUAGAACAUAUUAUUUUAUUGACAACUGUUAGAACAUAUUAUUUUAUUGACAACUGUUAGAACAUAUUAUUUUAUUGACAACUGUUAGAACAUAUUAUUUUAUUGACAACUGUUAGANNNNNNNNNNGGGGGGGGGGGGGGGCAUGUGUCUUUAAUGAUCAUGGUACAUCAUCACAUGGCAUAGGCCUAUUCACUUUAAGUGAGUAGAAUUCUAAUGAUAUGGUUCUAAUUCCAUGGUUGCCUGGACAAAUAACAUAUUGUCUGGUUUCAAAUAAUAUUAGAGCCUUUUGACAGUCAGAGAGCAUCAAAUCAAGCAAACAAAUCAAGAUGGACAUGUUUAUAUGCAGUACUCAGAGAGGACAGUGCUCAGAGAAGCCAGCUAUUUCAGACUUGGAUUGAGGUCAGACUUGGAGAAGACAACAUUGUAGCCUGUAUCACGACUGAGGUGAGGUUUGCCAGCUCUUGUCAGCUAACUGCCUGUCUGUAACACAUGUAGAGGUUUAGCUAGCUAGCAGACAGUGGGGAUUGGGAAUGUGUAAGUAAUAAAANNNNNNNNNNCAACUGUUAGAACAUAUUAUUUUAUUGACAACUGUUAGAACAUAUUAUUUUAUUGACAACUGUUAGAACAUAUUAUUUUAUUGACAACUGUUAGAACAUAUUAUUUUAUUGACAACUAUUAGAACAUAUUAUUUUAUUGACAACUAUUAGAACAUAUUAUUUUAUUGACAACUGUUAGAACAUAUUAUUUUAUUGACAACUAUUAGAACAUAUUAUUUUAUUGACAACUGUUAGAACAUAUUAUUUUAUUGACAACUAUUAGAACAUAUUAUUUUAUUGGCAACUGUUAGAACAUAUUAUUUUAUUGGCAACUGUUAGAACAUAUUAUUUUAUUGUACUGAUCAACAUUUGCAGAAGAAGAAGCAAUAUCUUUUAUCAAAGUGUGCGGUGUCUCUUUAAGAAAGUAAUGAGGUCAUUUGCAAGGCAGAAUGUGGCUGUGGAAUCUGACUUUGUGGCUAUGCAAACCAGACUGGAGGCGAGGGAGACUCGUAAAUUCACUCUGGCUAGAGCAGAUUAAAAACGGAUGAAUUUACAAAUGUGCAACACCUGUUGAAUAUUACCGGUGUCAGUAAACGUUGGCAAAAAAACAUAACUAAAUUGUUGCCAGAAUCACAGUUAGUCACCAACGCUCUAGAUAACAUGAAAACAGCCUAAUCAGCUCUGCUAGGGCGAGUAAAAUGGUCAGAGUGAGGUGUUCUCUCAUUUAUCUCUGGAAGUAGCUAGCCAGCUACAGAACGCUCGGAUCAACCUUUCUCCUCAGCCUGAGCGUCCAGUGUACACUCUGAACGCUCCCGAGUGUGAAACACUCUGAAUUUACGAACGACCCAGAGCACAUUCUGACACACUGGAAGCAAUUUACAGGGAAACUCCCUCUGUUGGCAUGGUGCACCACCACCAUGGCGUUAGAAUGGAUCCUCUGGAAGGACCAAAGCUCCACCCCUAUAACCAACACUAACCUUAACUUCUAUGCAACUAAGCCACGCCCAUAGCCACUGAUUGGAUCUGUGGUGAGCUGCAUCCUUAGCGAGGACCUGUCCUGCAGAGACCCAUGGGCUUCCUCUUUCUAGCGGAGUCUUGGCCCUUCAAAUCCACAGUGAUUAGGUAGUAACGAGUACAGGAGCCUUCAUAAUGAUGACGACAUGGGGAGCUGGGGAGCCAAGAAGCGGUUGGAAGAGAGAGGAAACUCUAGCUUCGGUUUGUAAUUUUCGGUACAGGCAAUAUUUGCCAUUAAAAUAUAUUUCUGUCAACAUGGGGCUCGGGCAUCACCAGGGGAAUGAUGAGGACACAACGUCCGAUGAGGAUCCUCAUCUGGUCUGCAUUUGUUCUCUCUUCUCCUAAUGGGUCCUAGUUACAGCUUUACAAGCUCUUUGUGGUCAGAGAUGUGUAGCCAGAGGCGGGCCUGGGAAACCAUCAGCUGUCAGCGUUGCUGAGAGAUUAAUGCCUGGCUCCACCGCAGAGGGGUGGCUCACUUUUUUUGAGUGAGGUGUGUGUGUGUCUUCACAUGCACUCAAAGUGCUGACAAGGAAGAUACCAUAGUGAUAACGAGAGAAGACUUGGUUAUUGUCAGUCCCCUUUGUCCCUCCAUGUUAAUGAGAGAGAGAGAGAGAGAG